rnacentral:rRNA from 1 species
UACGGAGGGUGCAAGCGUUGUCCGGAUUUAUUGGGUUUAAAGGGUGCGUAGGUGGCCUUAUAAGUCAGUGGUGAAAGCCUGCAGCUUAACUGUAGGACUGCCAUUGAUACUGUAGGGCUUGAGUACUGAUGAGGUAGGCGGAAUUGAUAGUGUAGCGGUGAAAUGCAUAGAUAUUAUCAAGAACACCGAUUGCGAAGGCAGCUUACUAAGGAGUUACUGACACUGAGGCACGAAAGCCAGGGGAGCGAACGGG